rnacentral:rRNA from 1 species
UACAGAGGGUGCAAGCGUUAAUCGGAAUUACUGGGCGUAAAGCGUGCGUAGACGGUUAUUUAAGUCAGGUGUGAAAGCCCCGGGCUCAACCUGGGAAUUGCAUUUGAGACUGAAUAGCUAGGGUGCGGAAGAGGGAAGCGGAAUUUCCGGUGUAGCGGUGAAAUGCGUAGAUAUCGGAAGGAACACCAGUGGCGAAAGCGGCUUCCUGGACCAGUACCGACGUUCAGGCACGAAAGCGUGGGGAGCAAACAGG